CUGGGGAAGAUGUUUCUCAGCAACAGUGCUACCCUGCUGGACAGCUGGUGAUUUUUACCAUAAAACAAGAUAGUAAUAAGGAUAGAAUGAGACACCACCGGCUUUGCUCCAUCCCUUUGGGAAGACAGCACACCCAGAGCUCAAGUCUGCUGCUCAUUCUGGAAGGGGAGAUGUCCUGGGCCCAGGGUUUGGAAAUGUCUUCUUGGACAAGCUUAAGCCGAACUUGUCUGAGGCAACAAAGAGAGCAAAGAGAAAGAUAAAGAUGGAGUCCUCAAAGAAUAAACAUGAUUAAGAGCAGAGCCCACAGCUCCAGAUGUGAAAACCAUGACUCGAUUGUCAGUGAGGAGAGACUGGUCCCUGGGGUUUGCUGACCUCCCAGGGAGCAAUGCAUUUCAGAGAGCUGUCAGAGCAGUUUUCUUCUUUAAGCCCUGGUUUGUUAAUUAUUAUUUUUUAUUAUUUAAAAAAUGUUUUCUAUCGAUACAUAAUAUUUGUAUAUAUUUGUGGAGCAGAUUUUAGAUUGCAGAAUUCAAUGGUCUAAGGGAGAAGAGAUGAACAAGCUUGAUGUAACAAGGAAGGUUAAGAGUGAUAUUUAAAUGGAAAGGGAAGUAUAUAUUUUAUUGUUUCCUGUUGCUGUAAUAAAUUAUCAAAAAUUGUCAUAAACUUAUAAACUGGCACAUUUAUAAACUCACAAACUUAUAAACUUAUAAACUGCCUUAAAAUAACAUGAAUUUAUUAUUUUACAGUUCUGGAGGUCAGAAGUCCAAGAUGGGUCUCCCUGGGCUAAAAUCAAGGUGUUGGGAGGCUGUGUUCCUUUCUGGAGGCUCUAACGGGGAAUCUGUUCUCUUGCCUUUUCCAACUUCUCAAAGCUGCAUGUGUUUCUUGGCUCGUGACUCCACACCACCCUGAUUUCUGCUUCCAUUGUUGCAUCUCCUUCUCCGACUCUGACCCUUCUGCCACCCUUUUAUGAGGAUCCCUGCUGUUAACAAUAUGUUCAUCAAAUAAUACAGAGUAAUUUCUCCUGCUUAAGAUCCUCAACAUUAUCACAUUUGCAAAGUCCCUUUUGCCAUCUAAGCUGACAUAUCCACAGGUUCCCGGUAUUGAUGUGUGGACACCUUUGGGGCAUGGGCGUUAUUCUGCCUACCAGUUUCCUAUUGCUUCUGUAACAAAUUACCAUAAAUGAAGUGGUUCAAAACAAUGCAGAAGUAUGAUAUUAUGGUCCUAGACAUUAGAAAUGCAAAAUGGGCUUAAGUGGGCUAAACUCAGGGUGUUGUUAGGAAUGCAUUCCUUUCUGGAGGCUAUAGGGCAGAAUCUAUUUCCUUGCCUUUUCCAGUUUCUAGAGGCUACCUGUAUUCAUUGCUUCGUGGUUUCCUUCCAUUUUUAGAGCCAGUAAAGGUCAGUCCAGUCUUUUUCACAUCGCACCACUCUGACACUGACAGUUCUGUAUCCCUCUUCCACUUACGAGGACCCUUGUCAUUCCAUUAGGCCCACCCAGGCAAUCCAGGGUAAUCUUCUGUCUUAAGGUCAACUGAUUAGCAACCUCAAUUCCAUCUGUAACGUUAAUUCUCCUUUGCCUUGAAACCUAACGUUUUUACAAGUUCUGGGGAUUAGGACAUGGAUAUAUUUGGGUGAGGGUCAUUAAUUUCCCUGCCACAAAUAUUAUCCUAUCGGAACUCCUAGUUCAAGAUACCAUUAACUCCAUUUUAUGGGUAAAGAAGCCCACUCAGAAGGGAGGUGCCUUACCCAAGGACACAGUUAUUUUCGGAAGCAGACUUAGAAUAGAACCCAAUUCUCUAUGACCCCAAAGCUUGGCUCUUUCCACUGAAAAUAUUAGAUACUGAAUGUGACUGAAAAUAUGCAGUGUCUAUCAUAGGCUGUAAAGACUGAUUAAAAUGAGAAGGGUCCUAAAGAAGAAUAUGGGAAUGUUCCCAAAAGAUCAGGGAAAGUCUCUUUUGUUGAGAAGCUUCUGAGAAACUAUCAAGCAUGCCAAAGAAGAGAGGGAGCAAGAAAUAAUACAGAAAAAAGAAAAAUAAAAAAAGAUUUCCAUAAAGCUUAGGACCAGGCAAAAGAUUUGGUGCUUCAAAUGCUUCUGCAAAUUUUUUUUGAUGAUGUCAUCAUACUAAUGGGAACUGGGAGAAAAGUUCUUUGAUCAGUGUUUGCAAAUUUCCUAAACCUUGGGUUAGUAUCUGACUGCUGUGUUUUAUUUGAUGUUAAUGAUUGAUAUAGUUUGGCUCUGUGUCCUCACCCAAAUUUCAUGUCAAAUUGUAAUUCCCAAUGU
rnacentral:lncRNA from 1 species